GAUGAACGCUGGCGGAGUGCCUAAUACAUGCAAGUCGAGCGAACAGACGAGGAGCUUGCUCCUCUGACGUUAGCGGCGGACGGGUGAGUAACACGUGGAUAACCUACCUAUAAGACUGGGAUAACUUCGGGGAACCGGAGCUAAUACCGGAUAAUAUAUUGAACCGCAUGGUUCAAUAGUGAAAGACGGUUUUGCUGUCACUUAUAGAUGGAUCCGCGCCGCAUUAGCUAGUUGGUAAGGUAACGGCUUACCAAGGCAACGAUGCGUAGCCGACCUGAGAGGGUGAUCGGCCACACUGGAACUGAGACACGGUCCAGACUCCUACGGGAGGCAGCAGUAGGGAAUCUUCCGCAAUGGGCGAAAGCCUGACGGAGCAACGCCGCGUGAGUGAUGAAGGUCUUCGGAUCGUAAAACUCUGUUAUUAGGGAAGAACAAAUGUGUAAGUAACUAUGCACGUCUUGACGGUACCUAAUCAGAAAGCCACGGCUAACUACGUG
rnacentral:rRNA from 1 species